GGCUUUAUUACAUUUAAAAACCCAAAACUUCAAACGUAAAUAAAAGGAUGUCUAGUUCACCAAAAGAAAAUCAAACUUUCAGAACGGGUGGCCACUCCGAAUUCCCUCACAGUUCCAAGCCUACUAUAGUUGGGGAUUUCCUGCGUGGAUGAAAAUAAAAGGGGUGAGUUUGGGGAAACUCAGUGUGUAAGGAAAACCCAUUUAAAGCCCAAGUCAGCUCAAGCCUAUUGGGCCUAAGCCCAUUCAGGUAACAGUGGUACUGGACCAGAGCCCUUUUCAGAUUACAAUAAACUGGGCCUUAGCCUCUUAUUCAGAUAACAGUAUGGCCCAUAGGCCCAUUUCAAAAUACAUGCAACAUCAAUAACAUAUGCAAGCCCAUUUGGGGAGACUACUCAACCCACCAACCACUACACUCCACCCGUACCAGCCCUACACUCCAUGUGGGGAAUAGCUCAACCCACCCAGCCCAACACUCCACAGUUGCAGCCUUACUGCUCAGUUAAUAGUAAAUUGAGGCAAAGCCUCCAGUACGUGGACAAGCCACUUUCAGUACUUCCUCCGUCAAUAUCCCAAUCCCAUGCAUCAGAUAAUAACAACAUGGAAUGCAGUAAAUAACAACAGUCAAACAUGCAUUUAGGUCAAAUUAACCCUAGGGGCAUUUCGGUAAUUUAUCUACUAGGAUAAAACUGUAAAUUUUCCACUUUUAAAGGUAUUUCAGUAAUUUAACUAUUUUAGGGUUUUUCAUGCAUAUUCCUACUUUUCACGUACUAACAGAAUCACGUACCGAGGGUUCUUACCGAAUUGGGCCCGUUGGCCCAUCAUUCCAAUUUUGGCCUAUUAAGCCCAAAAAUAUCUAGGGCACAGAAAUCAUGCACUUUGCAGUCCAAAUUUUUCAGUUUACCAAAAACAUUAAUCGAUUUACCUCACGAGCAUUCGCACACUCGCAAAUCUACAAAAUACCAGUUUUUGGCAUUUUGACUUUUUGACUUUUCGACUUUUGCCGAUCCAGACUAAGAAAGAGGGUGUUAGUUACACACCUGUUUGCGACGAUAUGCUGACGAGAUCCACACACGAACUGCCUACAAUUUGAUUACUAACACGUUAAUCUAACUAUUCAAAUAUGAACUACGUAUUAACCCCUUACAAUAUUCGGC
rnacentral:lncRNA from 1 species